GAGACACAUUCCAGCCAAUCAGCAGCAGACCCUCCCUCCCAGACCCUCCCACCUCCUGGACAGAAUCAAUUUUAUAUUGAUUCUUCUUAGCUGCAUUCUUAGUGAGCUGUCCAGGAGGUGGGAGGGUCUGGGAGGGAGGGUCUGCUGCUGAUUGGCUGGAAUUUGUCUG